rnacentral:rRNA from 1 species
UACGUAGGGGGCAAGCGUUGUCCGGAAUCAUUGGGCGUAAAGCGCGUGUAGGCGGCCCGGUAAGUCCGCUGUGAAAGUCGGGGGCUCAACCCUCGAAUGCCGGUGGAUACUGUCGGGCUAGAGUGCGGGAGAGGCGAGUGGAAUUCCUGGUGUAGCGGUGAAAUGCGCAGAUAUCAGGAGGAACACCAGCGGCGAAGGCGGCGCUCUGGGCCGGUACUGACACUGAGGAGCGAAAGCGUGGGUAGCAAACAGG